rnacentral:rRNA from 1 species
AAUCAACGCUGGCGGCGUGCCUAACACAUGCAAGUCGAACGCGAAAGCCCCGCAAGGGGUAAGUAGAGUGGCAAACGGGUGAGUAACACGUGGGUGACCUGCCUUCGAGUGGGGGAUAACGUCCCGAAAGGGACGCUAAUACCGCAUGACAUCCUGCUUUUGAAAAAGCGGAGAUCAAAGCUGGGGAUCGCAAGACCUAGCGCUUGAAGAGGGGCCCGCGCCUGAUUAGCUAGUUGGUGAGGUAACGGCUCACCAAGGCGACGAUCAGUAUCCGGCCUGAGAGGGCGGACGGACACACUGGGACUGAGACACGGCCCAGACUCCUACGGGAGGCAGCAGUGGGGAAUUGUUCGCAAUGGGCGCAAGCCUGACGACGCAACGCCGCGGGGAGGACGAAGAUCUUCGGGUCGUAAACUCCUGUCGAGCGGGACGAACGCUUCGCGGAUGAAUAAGCCGCGGAAUUGACGGUACCGCUAAAGGAAGCCCCGGCUAACUCCGUG